GAUGAACGCUGGCGGCGUGCCUAAUACAUGCAAGUCGAGCGAACAGACGAGGCGCUUGCUCCUCUGACGUUAGCGGCGGACGGGUGAGUAACACGUGUAUAACCUACCUAUAUGACUGGGAUAACUUCGGGAAACCGGAGCUAAUACCGGAUAAUAUAUUGAACCGCAUGGUUCAAUAGUGAAAGACGGUUUUGCUGUCACUUAUAGAUGGUUCCGCGCCGCAUUAGCUAGUUGGUAAGGUAACGGCUUACCAAGGCAACGAUGCGUAGCCGACCUGAGAGGGUGAUCGGCCACACUGGAACUGAGACACGGUCCAGACUCCUACGGGAGGCAGCAGUAGGGAAUCUUCCGCAAUGGGCGAAAGCCUGACGGAGCAACGCCGCGUGAGUGAUGAAGGUCUUCGGAUCGUAAAACUCUGUUAUUAGGGAAGAACAAAUGUGUAAGUAACUAUGCACGUCUUGACGGUACCUAAUCAGAAAGCAACGGCUAACUACGUG
rnacentral:rRNA from 1 species